GCAGGUGUAGUUCAAUGGUAGAACAUCAGCCUUCCAAGCUGAAUAUGCGAGUUCGAUUCUCGUCACCUGCUCCA
rnacentral:tRNA from 2 species